rnacentral:misc_RNA from 1 species
GAUGAAGAACGCAGCGAAAUGCGAUAAGUAGUGUGAAUUGCAGAAUUCAGUGAAUCAUCGAAUCUUUGAACGCACAUUGCGCCCCUUGGUAUUCCAUGGGGCAUGCCUGUUCGAGCGUCAUUUGUACCUUCAAGCUUUGCUUGGUGUUGGGUGUUUGUCUCGCCUUUGCGUGUAGACUCACCUUAAAAUAAUAGGCAGCCGGCGUAUUGAUUUCGGAGCGCAGUACAUCUCGCGCUUUGCACUCAUAACGACAGCGUCCAAAAGUACAUUUUACACUCUUGACCUCGGAUCAGGUAGGGAUACCCGCUGAACUUAAGCAUAUCAAUAAGCGGAGGA